CGAGGUCUAACACAUGCAAGUCAGGGGCAGCAUAAUGAAACAGCAAUGUGGAAUUGAUGGCGACCGGCGCACGGGUGCGUAACGCGUAUGCAACCUACCCAUAACAGGGGGAUAACACUGAGAAAUUGGUACUAAUACCCCAUAAUACUUUGGAAGGCAUCUUUUGGAGUUGAAAGUUCAGGCGGUUAUGGAUGGGCAUGCGUUGUAUUAGCUAGAUGGUGGGGUAAUGGGCUCACCAUGGCUACGAUACAUAGGGGGACUGAGAGGUUAACCCCCCACACUGGUACUGAGACACGGACCAGACUCCUACGGGAGGCAGCAGUGAGGAAUAUUGGUCAAUGGACGCAAGUCUGAACCAGCCAUGCCGCGUGCAGGAAGACGGCUCUAUGGGUCUUAAACUUCUUUUGCAAGGGAGCAAUAAGCCUCACGUGUGGGGCGAUGAGAGUACCUUGCGAAUAAGCAUCGGCUAACUCCGUG
rnacentral:rRNA from 1 species